AAGAAAGGAAAGAAAAAAGAAAAAAGAAAAAGAGAAAAAGAGAAAAAAAUUUAAAACAGUCAGGUAUACUUGGCCCGACCUGUGUCUGACCCGGAUCUGACCCGCACCAGUCAGCAGGCCACAGCAGCAGCAGUAACAGCCCACCAGCAGCCUCAAGCCCCAAAAAAAAGAGAAGAAGAAAGAAAAAAAAAAGAAACAGGCCAGGCAGCCCAAUCCUGCGGGCCCAACAGCAGCAGGCCAGUCCAACUUCCAACCUCAGCAAGCAGCAAGCCUGUCCAGUCUAGGCCCAGCUACCCGACCCAGCAGCGUGGCCCAACAGUAGCAGCAGGCCCCCAGGCCCAGCGCAAACAGGCCAGCCUAGCCAGAAAAAAAAAAGGAAGGGAAAAAAAAGAAAAAAGAAAAGAGGAAAAAAGGAAAAAAGAAAGAAAAAACCCGAUCGUGUAUUUCGUUCAUCAAGCCCGUAUUUUUGAGUUUUUGGAAGGUGUUGAUUAGAGAUUGGUUGCCAAAAACGGGUUUCUGAUGGAGGAGUCAAUUACGCAAAUAACCAAGAAAAAUAUCGUAGUCCGAGACUGGUCUUUGAAGACUCAGAAAGCGAAAGGUGACGGUUUAAAGGAAGGAUACAUCUUCAAUCUUCCCGAGCGUGUAACUUCGAAUUCUUGUCAGAACGAUCUCAAAGAUUUGGCUAGGAUCUGGAAACAAUGAGACUCAGAUACUAAAGCCAUCUUCACUAAAAAGUACGGGGAUAUAGCUCACUUGAUAGCAAUCAAUGUGAACGAGCAGUUGAUCCAAGCCAUGGUUCAAUUCUGGGACCUAGCCUAUCAGUGUUUCACAUUUCAAUCAGGAAGAUAUGACUCCGACCAUAGAAGAGUAUGCUGCCCUGCUUCGCAUUGACAAUGUGCAACUUAACAAGAUAUAUGUGAAGGAGUCUAAACCGAUGACCUUCAAGAAAAAAGCUAAUGAAGUUGACAGGGAUGACUGAUACAUGGGCUGAAGUUUAGUUUAUGAAAUUCGCAAGGCGGCUGUGCAAAUUAUGCAAUUAUCAGAUGAAGUCGAAGCUCUCAGUUGCCAAUUCUCUCUAAGACAAAGAUCAAGCAUGUCGGAGUUCCUAGAACGAGUGAAGAAACAAGGCGAUGUGGCUAGGGAAUUUGUGUAACUGUUAAGUCCAAGAUGGAAAAACGUUUUGUAAUAGGCUCUUUUGAUUAAUGAAACCUAAAAUAUGGGGCUAUCUUGAAAUCAACACCAAAUUCUUGUA